rnacentral:rRNA from 1 species
GAUGAACGCUGGCGGCGUGCCUAAUACAUGCAAGUCGAGCGAACGGACGAGAAGCUUGCUUCUCUGAUGUUAGCGGCGGACGGGUGAGUAACACGUGGAUAACCUACCUAUAAGACUGGGAUAACUUCGGGAAACCGGAGCUAAUACCGGAUAAUAUUUUGAACCGCAUGGUUCAAAAGUGAAAGACGGUCUUGAUGUCACUUAUAGAUGGAUCCGCGCUGCAUUAGCUAGUUGGUAAGGUAACGGCUUACCAAGGCAACGAUGCAUAGCCGACCUGAGAGGGUGAUCGGCCACACUGGAACUGAGACACGGUCCAGACUCCUACGGGAGGCAGCAGUGGGGAAUCUUCCGCAAUGGGCGAAAGCCUGACGGAGCAACGCCGCGUGAGUGAUGAAGGUCUUCGGAUCGUAAAACUCUGUUAUUAGGGAAGAACAUAUGUGUAAGUAACUGUGCACAUCUUGACGGUACCUAAUCAGAAAGCCACGGCUAACUACGUG